GCCGGGCAUGGUGGUGCCCACCUGUAAUCCCAGCUGCCCAGGAGGCUGAGGCGGGAGGAUUGCAAGUUUAAAGUCAGCCUUAGCAAUUUACUUAGGUCUUAAGCAACUAAGCAAGGUCCUGUCUCAA
rnacentral:sRNA from 1 species